CAUCCUAGUGAACAGUCUGUAAGGAAGCCCGAAGUUAGCUUGUACUUCGUGCCCAGAAUCCUAGAACAAAAGCCGGGAGCUUCCUACUUCCUUCCUCUUCCUGCUUCUCAGCCACAGGUCUUUCCAGAGGCAAUGGCCUAUCCAAACAUGAGGCAGCCGGACAAGCAGGAGGCGGUCCCAAGUGGUGAGAUGCAAAGCUUGAGAACAUCUUUCCUGGGCCCCGAGAUGAGGGUCCCCGCUUCCUUCCAGGCCCGCCAGAGGGGGUCUCCGCACCUGCGAUGGUCCCUCCUCCCUCCUCCCUCCACCCACCCUCCCUCUGUCCCUUCACCAGCCCGCAGGGGAGCCCGAGUGAAGGAAGCAACAACAAGUUCCAGCAGAGCCCUCGGUCAGGGAAGCUGAGGUCCCCCCGGGAGACGUGUGGUCCUUUCCGGAGGCAAGCCCAGGGCCAGCCCACCCCCCAGAGGCCACUCCAUCCCACGUCAAGACCUCUGCCCCCAAGGGGCCCCACGCACAAACCAGCACCCCUUCACCAGCUGACUGUGGUGAAAGAGGCUGGGUUCCCAGAGGGGCCUUAGGAGAGGUAACACCUGGUGAGCCUCUGCGGGAACCCUUCCCCAUGGAAACAUUUUAAGCAUUUUGAAACAAAGACAAUACAAAACAUCUCAAGUUUCCUAUUCCCAUUUCUUAAGUUUCAUACAGUACUUUGUAGAAAAAUGUAUCAGACACUCUCCAGUGACAAUUCAGGUAGGAAAUUACACUGGAAUCUGAGCCCCUGAGCGGCUAGAAGGGCCUUAGAAAGAGUGCAGCAGCCAUGAGUUGGGAGAGAGCUGGUGACAGUUCAUCAUGGGCCCUUGACUGUCUCAUAAGCUUGCCUUAAUCCCUUCUCUGGACAUGAUAGCAAAGCUGGGCACAAAAUGCAACACAAUAGCUUUUCUUCCUUGAGGACUGAGGCACCAGAAUGCUUUGUGAGUGAACCAAGUCGGUUGCCCGUUAAGGCCGUGAGGCUGCCCCAGGCAGAGGGUGGGGACCAGCUGUCAUUGUGCAGGGGUGGGGAUGGAGAGACCUUCAUUCCUUUCUGCCUCCCGACCACACCCCUGGAAACAAAGCGAGCGCCCUGACAAGCCCUGCCAUAAGGGCGACACUCAGAGUGUCCCACUGGAACAGGAGGUGGGCGCCGUCGCCACGCUCCCGGGUCAGCAGGGCCCCUGAGAUGAUCGCCACACCGCUCCCGCACCCAGGGGAAGGCAGACGGGCGGGCAAACAGCAUGUGGUUUGGCAACGCCACUGUCCCAGGACACACACGGCACAGAAGUGGCCGACGUCAGCACCAGCCAAUCCCUCGUCUGGCCCCGCAGCCGGCCAUUCUCCACACGUGGCGUGGAGGUCAUUGUAAAUCUAUUCAUCUCACUCCUCUGCUGAAAAACCUCCAAGGACUCCACUCCAGCCCCAGAGUAAAGGGCACUAUCGUGAUAACAAAGGGCAGGGUAGAUUAGAGAAGCGCACAGAGCUGGUCCUGACCCAGCCCCGGCUCUUCUCUCCAGCCUCACACAUCACCACAUCUUUCUUUCCACAACACAUACAGGGGCACACGUACGUGCAUGCCUGCACGCACACCAUGUAAACACACGUGGAGACCCACCUGUUUAGCCAGGCCUCCGUGCUCAGCGUCUGCGGCAUCCACAGGCCUGUUCUCGUUGCUUGAAAUCUUGCCUCCCAUGUCCCCCAAGGCCCACACCCAACUCCUCCAAACUUCCUUUCUCGGCCAAUGCCCACUUGACCUCUGGGUCUCCUCCUCGGGGGAGCCCUCCCGGACCUUUUACGACGUGGCCAGGGGUCCGAGCCCAGAGCCCUCCUCAUGCUCUGUCCAUCCCUAAGCAGGGUCACCAGUCUCUCCCCAGCUUUGCCUGGCCGAGGUCGGUCAUCCCACUAGACUGCCUCGUGUCCAGACCCCACCCCGUGAUGGAAGCUCAGAGGAUGUUUAUAGAAUGAAUACAUGAGUAACAGUAACGAGAGCACGUUUAAAGGAUCUGAGACAUAAUUUGCCUCAAUACGACGUCUAAAGUUCAUUGUAGGGAUGAAAGUAAAUCUAGGUGUCAAUAAAUGAACAGUUAUGUGUUGAGCACGUUCUGUGUGUAGCUGUCCCUUCAGCGGGCUGGUGAGGUCUAGAAAGAUACAGCUGAGCGUUCAAACGGCCCAGAUAAGCCAGGCGUUUCUUCCACCGUGGGUGCUCACGGGGCCUCCCUCCACUACUGAGGAGGAGAAGGUCCGAACCUUUGCCAUGUGUGAGCUAAGUGGUGUGCAGUGUGCUUUGACCCUCAGGCUCCCUUCUCACACACUGAGCCGCGUGAACCACUGAGUGCUGAGUGAAGGGGUGUGUCCCCCAAAGAUCUGCUCUUUUGGAAAAUAUCCUGCUUCUUAAUUUUGCUCAAAUGUGUUAUUCCAAAGAAAGACACAAAGGUGGUGGUGUCAGCGAUAAAAUCCCUGCUGAGGUCACAGCUCUGCUGUAAAUGGAGCUUCCAGUCACCCUAUUAAUGUCCAUUUGAGGUCUUCAGGAAACUCCUUUACUAGUUCCUCAAAGCAAGGGACCCUCACACGACUUUGAAUGAGUGAACCAGCUAUAAACGAGUUUUGGAUGUUGCUUGCUUAAAAGCAAAGAGCCCAAGCCUCGGCCCCCCUCGGCGGGCAUCCCUUCUCCUACUCUGAUGCGGCUCCCAUCCCGCUGACCAGUGAAACGCAGGUGACAGCCCCUCGGCUUUCACACCUGCGUGCGGCUCCCUUCCAGAUAGGUCAGGUCCAUACCACCUGCCCCGACUGGGUUCCCAUGGAGACAGUGCGGCAGAUGUCUGUGUGCAGGACGCAGGACCAGCCCCAGCAGGGGCGUGACAGGAGCAGGUGUGCACCCAGACAAUGGGAUAGAGUCUAGGCAGAGGCUUUGAGCCCAUCCCACGAGGCAACCCAUCAUGAGGGCAAAGGUCCAGGCCUCCACUUCUGCGUCCAUCCGUCACUGGACAGGACUGCCCCUGGGGACAGGCGUGACCUGGUGUGAGGCGGCCAUUCCCCAAGAGGACUCAGCCAGCACUCGAGUGGCUUCACCGAGGUUACGUGUGAGAGGGGCGGUCAGCCUGGGAACCAAGGAGAAGUGAGCACCACCGUGGGGCCACCUGCAAGGUCAGUGUCAGGAGCUAAGCCACCGUCAGCAGCAGCCAUGGCCAGCCGGCCAGCGUGAGUGGGGCGGGGAGAUGCAGCUACAGCUGCCGUGGCCAGAAAAGGCUAUUGGCCACAGGGGGACUCAUGUGGGAACAGAGAGCGCUGAGUUAGACCCAUACCCCUGAGUCCUUGAAGCUGGUUUGGCUGAAGAGGAAGUCAGUUUACAGACAGCUUGGGCACCGCUUAUACCAAUGUUGGGUCUCUGAAUCCUGUCACUUAUAUGACCCGUUCACUUCAUAUUUGUCUCUGUCUCCUUUUUCUUCUCUGUAAAUUGGGAAUCAUAAUAGUACCGACAUGAUAGGGAUGUUGUGAAGUAGUGAUCUUGGACUGCGCCUGCUACACACUGAACGCUUGCUCAGUGAUGAUGGGUAUUAGCAUCAUUUAUUUGGAUAAACCUGUAAUUAUAUUCCAGCCUGGCCUCUUAGGUGCUGUGACCUUGUGCAGGUUUUCUGUUGCUGUUUUUUUUACUUCAUGUCUCUGCUUAGAAAUAAUAUUAUUUCAUGCACUUUUCGUUGAUUGCAUCUUUUGGAAAUUCUAUUCCCUGGUUAAGAAAAUGAAUUGCAAAUUUGUGUUAAGAUAAGCAAAGAUUAAAAGGAAACAUCUGUUUUGUGCUGCUACAAAGAAUAUUAACAUCCAAGAUGCAUGAGCUGGGGUCUCACUUAGCACCCAGCACUCUCCUUCUUGGUACUCCAUUACGUGGGCUGACUGAAUCACAAGCUAUCUUUACACCAAAAUAAUGCAUAUUUCAACUUCAGAAAAUGUAUUAGAUGUCUGUCACGAUUGUCAAGUCUGUCUUUGUUUUCCUGUCAUCGGAACAGUGAAUGUAUUUUACAGGAAUUUAGGCAGGGACUUUUCAUAUGUUGUAUAAAAAGCUCUUGCAAGUGCAGGAAAUAUAACUGAUGCUGAUAAAAGUGCCUAAAAAGUUAAACGGCAAACUGUCCAUUCUAGGUGCUCAUAUGAGUUUCUGUUGAUGUAAAUAGGAUGACUUGUGACAAUUAUUAUAAAAGCCAGGGUAACCCAGAGAUGUGUGCACUAGUUUUCUAACUAGCCUUUCAAUAAUCCUUCUAGAACCUUUGCCAUGGGAGCACACCUGUAUACCUGGAUCAUAUGUCCACGGGGGCUCUCCAGCUUUACCCGGCGGUUGGUGUAUUGCAGUAAGUAGAGGGUCAUUUUUCCAUAAGCUAUAAGGUGUUUGAGCAGGUACAAGGUGAUUUCCUCAGCUCUUUGCAUGGUUUUCCUAGGAUCAGAGUCUGGACUUGUGAUUGUGGUAUCCCUGCCCAUGACACUGUACACUCUUCCCAGCGAAGAGGGGGAACAGCUCCCCUCAGGACUCUUUAUUGUAGUCAAAUGCAGAGAGUCACUUAUCCUGCCAGCAGGAGUUCUUUCAGUCUAUGUGAGAUGUAUAUUUAUUACUGCAAAUUUUUAAAAAGGAUUUUGUUUUGCACCUCUGUCUCCAGUACAUUUUAAUUUUUGAGUGCUUUCACAGCCUUAGGCACUCUGGGCCUGCGGAGUCAGGAGCCCCAUCCCCUGGCCUUCCCUAAGAAGACAUUACACUGGGCUAAUCGUAAAGGAUAUUUCCAGAUGCCCACGGCUCCACUGAUGUCUCAUCAGGAAUUGUGGACAUGAAGCCUAAGACGUCACGUUCCUUGUCUCAGGAUGGUUAGAGCUGCUGAUUGCAAACAGUGGAAUCUACUUGGACCAGUUUAAGCAGAAAAGGGAUUUACUAAAUGCUUUGAGGUCCACCACGGAAUCGUGCAGAAUGGAAAUGAGUUUUAAGACUAUGUUUCCAGGACCAACACCUGGACCGUGCGAUGCGACUGGACAAGUGAGAAAGUGGCCUCCACCUGCUUAAAGCCUGGGCAUCUGCUGCCGGAACUGACGCCCCUUCUCAGUGACGGAAGCUGCACGUGGACCCACAAAGUGGACGUUGUGUGGAGAGCCUGCUUCCUGGGAUGCUCGCUUCCAAACGCAGGGUCACCUGGGAGGCUGUGUGGCACAGAGGGAGCCCUCCAAGGCUCCCGGCUGCCAGGGAGGCUUAAUUAGAAAGACUUUUAGAAGAAAAUGGAAUGUGGUUGGAUUUAAAUGAAGCAAAACUUGAAAGACUGGAUCCAUCCAUUAUAGACUGUUAUUAUCAUCUAUAUAAUAAUGCAGAUUAUUAUAUCUGUAGUGCUGGUUUAAAAAUACAGAGGAAGGACUUCGGCAGGCCCAGGGCAGGUGACUGGAGCCUGUUUGAACGUGUUUCACCCCGUGCUCUUGUUUCACUCUUGGCCAGAAGCAAAGAUAUUGCAGCGAAAGUCACUGCUGCACACAUUAGACUUCCAGCUGGCUCGCUUGGACCUUUACCCUGACUUUUGGCAAAAAUUGUGUCAAAAGUGGUGCUGCUCUUGCAAACUAAGCACAUGUGGUCUGGCUAAACUCUUGUGUUUUAUUUGUAUUUUAAAGGACAUAACUAUAGUCACUAUAAGGUUUGAGGUGGGUGAACUACUUAGAGGGUAUUUGAUUGUGCUAGAAAAUAUAUUAAGAAAGCAAACCCUGCAUUCUGACUUCUGAGUGAAGAGAGGAUUUCAGACAAAAAUUUAAAAAAUAAAGAGAGCUUGUUUUUA